rnacentral:rRNA from 1 species
CCGAGUUGUAAUUUGCAGAGGAUGUUUCGGGUACCGCCUCGGUUUAAAUUUCUUGGAACAGAAUGUCAAAGAGGGUGAGAAUCCCGUCUUGGACCGGCGGUAGGGCCCAUGUGAAACUCCUUCGAC